UAGUUGUAUCAUAAACAGUAAUACAUAAUAUAUAUAUCUAAGUGUACGCUGCAUAGUUGUGGUUCCCGUGGAAUUUCAGGCAGCGUGUCUGAUCCACGGGUGGGUCGGCGGGGAAUCUGUCUAACUGCGUUGCGCGGCCGCUUCGAUACAAUCAACUUGAAUCAUUUCUAAAGAUGAUAAUGUGCACGCCGAACAGACUGCAGGGCAGAGAGCUGCGUCAUGUGGCGUUGUUUUAACCGCGAUGAAAACGGCGCGUUUAUUGUUCAGUAAACCUACAUAUUAACCCAGCAGCAGAGUUAACAGUAACCGGCUGUUAAUUAUUAACGUAAUAAAUAUAUAAAUUGGGGAAUUAAAUAUGAUAACGUGGCAUCUUACUGAAAACAAACACAAAAACGGUUCCUUAUUUUCCUCUUCUUCUCGUUUUUCGCUUUCACUCUCAGUGGUCACAGUUAGUAAAUAAUACGCGUUUUCGUUUGCAUAGCGACGGGUUUAUCUUUCGGGUCGUGUCGCCGGAGUUCGCCGGAGCUCGCCGGAGUUCGCCGGAGCUCGCCGGAGUUCGCCGGAGUUCGCCGGACCGCCUUCGACUCCUCGGCUUUUCCCGGGCGGGCGCGCCGAAGCUCAACUCGCUCAACUCGGAGCGCAGAGCGAAACUGGAGCGUGUAGCGUGUAGCGUGUGCGAUGGCUGCGUGUGUCGAUGUCAUCGUCGUUGGAGCUGGAAGGCGUGGUUCGAUCUACGCACACUUCGCUGUGGAGUUCCCUGAGCGCAUGAGGGUGGUGGGAGUAGCUGAUCCGAACCCUUUUUCCCCGGGAGAGACUUCGGGAGCAGCACAGCAUCGAGGAGCACAAUGCCUUCGCUGACUGGCGCUCCGUGGCUCAGAGGGACAGGUUUGCGGACGCGGUCCUGAUCUGCACCCCCGACCGGCUCCACAAGGAGCCUGCGGUGGUGUUUGCUCGGAAGGGGUAUCACAUCCUGCUGGAGAAGCCCAUGGCUGUGAGUACUGCCCCCCCUCCUUCCUCUGUCUCCC